AUGGCACUUCUGAUUGGUUGGUGUUCGACUUUGAUUGCAGGCCACUCAUUGGCCGCAGCAGCAAGAGGAGCCGCCGCCACGUCCGCGCAUCUGCAGUGGAUGGUGGUGCGGAACUGCUCCAGCUUCCUGAUCGAGAGGAACCAGCAGAUCUACAGCCCCGAGCCCAGUAACCUGAAGGCUCGCAACUCCUUCGGCUACAACGGGCUGAUCCAUCACAGGACGGUGGGCGUGGAGCCGGCGGCCGACGGCACGGGCGUCGUGGUGGUCGCGAAGCGGAGGUCCAGUCAGCGAAAGCCAGCCACAUCCUACGUGCGGACCACCAUCAUCAAGAACCCCGGGGCCACCCUCAGCGGCAUCAGGCACGUGCCGCGAGAACCAGUACCGCCCCGACCCGCGAGUACCGCCCCGACCCGCGCGCGGCUGCCGUCGGCAGGGCCAGCACCGUCUGGCCCAGCCAGAAGCCAGUGAUGGUGAAGAGGAAGCGGACGCCCCACCGAGAUCUCCUGAGACCGCUCCCCAGCGGCAAUGAGGACUCCUUGCCCUUUGGGCCUUCACUAACUGCCAGUCUGGAACCAUCUCAGGCAGGAACAGACUUCCUGGUGCCAGCCCCGGGGGAGCUGACAGUGCCUUCAGCCCUGGAAAAGGAAAUGCAGGGUAGGGAGCAGCAGCUGCAUGUUCUCCUGAAAUUGCUUCUGAAAAUGACCAGACACUUCACUGGGAAAGUGACGACAAUUUGGGCCCUGGGAGCAGGAGAUGAGGCGGAGAGCGGGGGCGAUCAGGGGCGGGUCACCAGCCCCUGGCGGCCAGAUAGGCUCUUCUCGGCCUGA